rnacentral:lncRNA from 1 species
UAAAUAAAUAAAAAGAGAUGGAAGAAACCUCAGGAAAACAGAAUUGGAUAAAAAUGUUUAGAUGGUUGAUCAAAAAUGACCUUAAACAAGAAAGGAAGAUGGAGUAGUUACUAAAAGUAUUGAAUCCCUGUAAAAAUAAUUGGUCUACUGAAAGAUCUGGAACUAAUUAAUUCACCCUAGUCUUGAUAAUUUUUCAAAAUGUCAAAAUUAUAAAAAGGUGACAAGUAUAAUCUCUUCAGAGCCUGCUCUGAUUAUAACCAGGGAGAGAAAUGGGGAGUAUUAUGACUGAAUGAUGAUGUCAAUUGAAGAAAAUGACAAGACAAGUCUCAAUCAUUUUGGAGACUUAUUUGCCAAAGUUAACGACCCACCCGGGAGACAAGUCUAUGCUUUUCUCUGAAGAUGAUUUUUAGGGCUCCAAAUUUAAAGAGGAAAGGGUGGGAUAUUGAGAAGCACACAGUUUUCACAUUAAAAAAGGGGGCAAAAGAAAGAUGUGGGGAAUCUGCAUUUUACAUAAGAUAACACAGAGGAAAUGGGGUAGGCAUUUUGUGUCUGACAGGCUGGGGUGACCGCACCUGUAAAGAUAAACUAUCAGUUUGCAUUUCCAUGGUGAAGUUUUUUGUUUGUUUCGUUUUUUGUGGGUUUUUUUUGUUUUUAGAUGGAGUUUCACUUCUGUCGCCCAGGCUGGAGUGCGGUGGCAUGAUCUCGGCUCACUGUAACCUCUGUCCCCUGGGUUCAAGUGAUUCUCCUGUCUCAGCCUCCCGAGUAGCUCUGUCACCCAGGCUGGAGUGCAGUGGUGCAAUCUUGGCUCGCUGCAACCUCCGCCUCCCGGGUUCAAGUGAUUCUCCUGCCUCAGCCUCCUGAGUCCUGGGACUACAGGCACCCACCACCAUGUCCAGCUAAUUUUUGUAUUUUUAGUAGAGACGGGGUUUCACCAUAUUGGCCAGGCUGGUCUCAAACUCCUGACUUUGUGAUCCACCCACCUUGGCCUCCCAAAGUGCUGGGAUUACAGACGUGAGCCACCGCACCCAGCCCAUUCUUGUAAUCUUUAUCCUAGAAUUGCUAAACAGCCUCAUCUGCAACUGAACCCAACUCUACUGUCAUGCAAACGAUCCCAUGGACUUGUUCCUGGGUUUGUCAUACACACACUUGUAUAAGGGCUGCCCCCUCCCACCAUAGUUAAUGUGCACUUCACUAGCAUUUC